AUUGAACGCUGGCGGCAGGCCUAACACAUGCAAGUCGAGCGAGCGGCGGACGGGUGAGUAAUGUCUGGGAAACUGCCUGAUGGAGGGGGAUAACUACUGGAAACGGUAGCUAAUACCGCAUACCAUCAGAUGUGCCCAGAUGGGUUGAGCUAGUAGGUUGGGGAACGGCUCACCAAGGCCACGAUCCCUAGCUGGUCUGGUAGGAUGACCAGCCACACUGGAACUGAGACACGGUCAAGACUCCUACGGGAGGCAGCAGUGGGGAAUAUUGCACAAUGGGCGAAAGCCUGAUGAAGCCAUGCCGCGUGGGUGAAGAAGGCCUUCGGGUUGUAAAGCACUUUCAGCGGGGAGGCGUUACCCGCAGAAGAAGCACCGGCUAACUCCGUGCCAGCAGCCGCGGUAAUAC
rnacentral:rRNA from 1 species